rnacentral:tRNA from 1 species
GCCUCCUUAGCUCAGUUGGCCAGAGCAGCUGAUUUGUAAUCAGCGGGUCGGGGGUUCGAAUCCCUCAGGAGGCU